AAAGCCAGCACAGUUUGGUUCAGGACAAGUGAGAUGAAAAGCCAGCACAGUUUGGUUCAGGACAAGUGAGAUGAAAAGCCAGCACAGUUUGGUUCAGGACAGGUGAGAUGAAAAGCCAGCACAGUUUGGUUCAGGACAGGUGAGAUGAAAAGCCAGCACAGUUUGGUUCAGGACAAGUGAGAUGAAAAGCCAGCACAGUUUGGUUCAGGACAGGUGAGAUGAAAAGCCAGCACAGUUUGGUUCAGGACAGGUGAGAUGAAAAGCCAGCACAGUUUGGUUCAGGACAAGUGAGAUGAAAAGCCAGCACAGUUUGGUUCAGGACAAGUGAGAUGAAAAGCCAGCACAGUU